AUAUUUUUUUUUUGCAUUGCUGCGAUUACAUUCUGAAUGUUUAAAGUGUGUAUAAUAAGCCGCUAAACCCUAACCCUAGGGUUAAUCGUAUACGGGGGUAAUAGCGUCUCUAAAGGUGCACAGGUGUGAAUGAAUGAAGAGGUGUGCACUUGUGAGAACCAGCACUAGCCUCAAUAAUUCGUUAAUGAUCCUUCCGCAGGUUCACCUACGGAAA
rnacentral:misc_RNA from 1 species